GACGAACGCUGGCGGCGUGCUUAACACAUGCAAGUCGAACGAAGAGCGAUGGAAGCUUGCUUCUAUCAAUCUUAGUGGCGAACGGGUGAGUAACGCGUAAUCAACCUGCCCUUCAGAGGGGGACAACAGUUGGAAACGACUGCUAAUACCGCAUACGAUCUAAUCUCGGCAUCGAGGAUAGAUGAAAGGUGGCCUCUACAUGUAAGCUAUCACUGAAGGUGGGGAUUGCGUCUGAUUAGCUAGUUGGAGGGGUAACGGACCACCUAGGCGAGGAUCAGUAGCCGGUCUGAGAGGAUGAACGGCCACAUUGGGACUGAGACACGGCCCAGACUCCUACGGGAGGCAGCAGUAGGGAAUCUUCCGCAAUGGACGAAAGUCUGACGGAGCAACGCCGCGUGAGUGAUGACGGCCUUCGGGUUGUAAAGCUCUGUUAAUCGGGACGAAAGGCCUUCUUGCGAAUAGGGAGAAGGAUUGACGGUACCGGAAAAGAAAGCCACGGCUAACUACGUG
rnacentral:rRNA from 1 species